UCGCGGACGCGAGCGCCGAAAGGCGGCGUCCGAGGAAAGUCCGAGCUCCAUAGAGCAGGUUCGCGGGUAACGCCCGUCCGCCGCGAGGCGAGGACCAGCGCCACAGUGACGAUGCCCGCUCAUAGAGGCGGGAGUGAAACGCGGCAAGCUCGAGCCGGAGCAAGACCGAAUAGGAGGGCGCAAGGCGACGUUCGCGUCGCAGCAGGCUGCUCGCUCAGCCCUCGGGUAGGUCGCACAGAUGGAUGACCGUCGCGGGUCCCUCGGGCCCAGACAGAACUCGGCUUACAGGCCGCUCUCCAGG
rnacentral:RNase_P_RNA from 1 species